AGAUUGUGGUGGUGUUGUAAGCGGUGAGUGAACAUAUGGGUUCGUGGAAGCUUUCUUGCACUCUUCUUCUGAGCUUUUUCUUCGUCGGCCUUUGUUUUACAUAUCGAUGCUCUGCUGUUGAACUUGAUGCGAACCUGACUGCACGAUUGUUCGUUAAUGCUUCUGCGGGUCGGGUGAUACCAGAAACGCUGUUUGGAAUAUUCUUCGAGGAGAUAAACCAUGCUGGAGCUGGUGGGAUAUGGGGAGAGCUUGUGAAUAACCGGGGUUUUGAAGCUGGGGGGCCUAACACACCGUCAAAUAUUGAUCCUUGGUCUAUCAUUGGUGAUGGGUCAUCUUUAACUGUAUCUACUGACCGUUCUUCUUGCUUUGAGCGUAAUAAGGUUGCACUGAAAAUGGAGGUGCUUUGUAACAGUAAAGGCAAUAAUAUUUGCCGAGCUGGUGGAGUUGGUAUAUACAAUCCUGGAUUCUGGGGCAUGAAUAUUGAACAAGGGAAGACCUAUAAAGUGGUUCUGUAUGUUCGUUCAUUGGGAUCGAUCAAUAUAUCUGUAUCAUUGACAGACUCAAAUGGAUUGCAGACAUUGGCUACUGCCAACAUUAUAGCUUCCGCUUCUGAUGUUCUCAACUGGACAAAGGCAGAGGUUUUAUUGGAAGCCCAAGGAACAAAUCAUAAUUCCAGACUUCAAUUGACAACAUCCCAGAGAGGUGUAAUAUGGUUUGAUCAAGUUUCAGCUAUGCCCUUAGACACAUACAAGGGGCAUGGUUUCCGAAAUGAGCUUGUUGAAAUGCUUGCAGACAUAAAACCUCGGUUUAUCAGAUUUCCAGGUGGCUGUUUUGUUGAAGGUGAAUGGUUAAGAAAUGCAUUUCGAUGGAAGGAAACAAUUGGACCAUGGGAGGAGAGACCUGGGCACUUUGGUGAUGUUUGGAUGUAUUGGACUGAUGAUGGACUUGGUUAUUUCGAGUUUCUUCAACUAGCAGAAGAUCUUGGUGCAUUGCCAGUAUGGGUAUUCAACAAUGGAAUCAGCCAUCAGGAUCAAGUUGAUACCUCCACCAUUUCACCUUUCGUGCAAGAAGCUCUUGAUGGAAUUGAGUUUGCUCAAGGUGAUUGUGGUUCUAAAUGGGGCUCAAUUCGAGCUGCAAUGGGACACCCAGAGCCUUUUGACUUGAGAUAUGUUGCUGUUGGAAAUGAGGAUUGCGGAAAGAAGAAUUAUCAAGGAAAUUAUCUCAAGUUUUAUGAUGCUAUAAAACAUGCCUAUCCUGACAUCAAAAUAAUCUCAAACUGUGAUGGUUCUUCCCGCUCUUUAGAUCACCCUGCUGAUUACUAUGAUUUUCAUGUUUAUACAUCUGCCAACAACUUGUUUUCUAUGGUGCACAAAUUUGAUCGAACCUCACGCAACGGUCCCAAGGCUUUUGUGAGUGAGUAUGCUGUGACUGGAAAAGAUGCUGGCACAGGAAGUCUUUUAGCUGCACUUGCUGAAGCUGCAUUCCUCAUUGGGCUUGAAAAAAA
rnacentral:misc_RNA from 1 species